GGACCCUACGGACGCAGCAGUGGGGAAUAUUGCACAAUGGGGGAAACCCUGAUGCAGCAACGCCGCGUGAGUGAAGAAGUAUUUCGGUAUGUAAAGCUCUAUCAGCAGGGAAGAGAAUGACGGUACCUGACUAAGAAGCCCCGGCUAACUACGUGCCAGCAGCCGCGGUAAUACGUAGGGGGCAAGCGUUAUCCGGAUUUACUGGGUGUAAAGGGAGCGUAGACGGCUGUACAAGUCUGAAGUGAAAGCCCGUGGCUCAACCGCGGAACUGCUUUGGAAACUGUAAAGCUGGAGUACUGGAGAGG
rnacentral:rRNA from 1 species